rnacentral:rRNA from 1 species
AACGGAUAAAAGCUACCCCGGGGAUAACAGGCUUAUCUCCCCCAAGAGUCCACAUCGACGGGGAGGUUUGGCACCUCGAUGUCGGCUCAUCGCAUCCUGGGGCUGUAGUCGGUCCCAAGGGUUGGGCUGUUCGCCCAUUAAAGCGGUACGCGAGCUGGGUUCAGAACGUCGUGAGACAGUUCGGUCCCUAUCCGUCGUGGGCGUAGGAAAUUUGAGAGGAGCUGUCCUUAGUACGAGAGGACCGGGAUGGACGCACCGCUGGUGUACCAGUUGUUCUGCCAAGGGCAUAGCUGGGUAGCUAUGUGCGGAAGGGAUAAGUGCUGAAAGCAUCUAAGCAUGAAGCCCCCCUCAAGAUGAGAUUUCCCAUAGCGUAAGCUAGUAAGAUCCCUGAAAGAUGAUCAGGUUGAUAGGUUCGAGGUGGAAGCAUGGUGACAUGUGGAGCUGACGAAUACUAAUAGAUCGAGGACUUAACCAUAUAA